GAAGCAGGUCCCAAGGGUUUGGCUGUUCGCCAAUUAAAGCGGUACGUGAGCUGGGUUUAAAACGUCGUGAGACAGUUUGGUCCCUAUCUACCGCGGGCGCAGGAGAUUUGAGAGAAUCUGUCCCUAGUACGAGAGGACCGGGAUGGACGAACCUCCGGUGAUCCAGUUAUCACGCCAGUGGUAUCGCUGGGUAGCUGCGUUCGGAUGGGAUAACCGCUGAAAGCAUCUAAGUGGGAAGCCCACCUCAAGAUUAGAUCUCCCGUGGCGCAAGCCCCUAAAGCCCCCUUGGAGAAGACAAGGUUGAUAGGUCGGAGGUGUAAGGCUGGCAACAGCCUAAGCUGACCGAUACUAAUUGGGCGUGAGGCUUGACCAU
rnacentral:rRNA from 1 species